rnacentral:rRNA from 1 species
UGAAUACGAGACGCUAAGGCGUCGAAGUAGUGUAUGUCAUACUUCCAAGAAAAGCUUGCACUGUCAUAGAUAAAAAACGCCUGUACCAUAACCGACACAGGUGGGUAGGUAGAGUAUACUAAGGGGCGCGAGAUAACUCUCUCUAAGGAACUCGGCAAAAUAACUCCGUAACUUCGGGAGAAGGAGUGCCUUAUUCGUAAGGUUGCAAUAACAAGAUCCAAGCAACUGUUUAUCAAAAACACAGGUCUCCGCUAAGUCGUAAGACGAUGUAUGGGGGCUGACGCCUGCCCAGUGCCAGAAGGUUAAAGAAGUUGGUUAGCAUUUGCGAAGCUAGUGACUGAAGCCCUGGUGAACGGCGGCCGUAACGAUAACGGUCCUAAGGUAGCGAAAUUCCUUGUCGGGUAAGUUCCGACCCGCACGAAAGGCGUAAUGAUUUGGAUACUGUCUCGGAGAGGGGCUCGGUGAAAUAGACUUGUCUGUGAAGAUGCGGACUACCUGCACCAGGACAGAAAGACCCUAUGAAGCUUUACUGUAACUUGAAAUUGAAAUUGGACUUUAUUCGCGCAGUAUAGGUGGGAGGCGUUGAUUAUAAUCUUGCGGGAUUAUUGGAGCCAUCAGUGAGAUACCACUCUUGUAAUGUUAGAUUUCUAACUUUGAAUCAUUAUCUGGUCAAAGGACAGUUUCAGGCGGGCAGUUUGACUGGGGCGGUCGCCUCCCAAACGGUAACGGAGGCGUACAAAGGUUUCCUCUGAACGGUUAGAAAUCGUAUCUAGGGUGUAAAGGCAUAAGGAAGCUUGACUGUGAGACCUACAAGUCGAGCAGGGACGAAAGUCGGUCUUAGUGAUCUGACGGUACUGAGUGGAAAGGCCGUCACUCAACGGAUAAAAGUUACUCUAGGAUAACAGGCUGAUCUCCCCCAAGAGUUCACAUCGACGGGGAGGUUUGGCACCUCGAUGUCGGCUCAUCGCAUCCUGGGGCGGUAGUACGUCCCAAGGGUUGGGCUGUUCGCCCAUGAAAGCGGUACGCGAGCUGGGUUCAGAACGUCGUGAGACAGUUCGGUCCAUAUCCGGUGUAGGCGUUAGAAUAUUGAGAGGAGCCUUCUUUAGUACGAGAGGACCGAGAAGGACAUACCUCUGGUGUACCAGUUAUCGUGCCAACGGUAAACGCUGGGUAGCUAUGUAUGGAGUGGAUAACCGCUGAAAGCAUCUAAGUGGGAAGCCCACCUCAAGAUAAGUAUUCUCA